rnacentral:lncRNA from 1 species
GCGGGGUAGAGGGUCCGAGAACCGGGAGCCGGGACGCCGGGGUCCAAAAGCUGCCGCGCGCCCGCUCCGCCCCGUGACACAGCCGCGUGCGCGCUCCCGCUUCCCACUCCCACCCCCAUGGCGGAGCCCCGCCCCUAGGGGCGCGCCCGGCCCACGCGCGAGAGCGCGCGAGGGCGCAGGCAACCUGAGCCUCCCAUUUUCCCAGGCCUGCGAGUGGGGGUUUCCACGUAGCCCCUUAGGCCCCUGACUCUGGUACUGUCCCGAAGAUUGGAAUCAGGAAAACUGUGAAAAAUGACGACAGACAGAUACACAAUUAGGCAAAAGGGAGGUACCUUACAAAGCUGAAAAUGACACCCAAUUCUAGCCACUUCUCCCUCACCUGCCCCCUGAAAGCCACACCCAGUGUUUUCCCCAGUCCUGGUUUCUACACUUCUAUCUUGAGGCUGACUCUCCCCCUUGUGACCUGUCCACCAAUCGGAGGAAGCAGUGGCUGGACACCCUUCAGAUCUCCAAGCAGAUCUCCACUGACCUGGGGCCCAGGCAUGCACUGAGGACAUGCCCCUAAAGAUGGCUGGGCCUGCCAGAUGGCAGGAUUCACUUACCAGAAGCAGUGGGGAGACACCUAGCAAAAAGAAUACAUGAUACCACACAUAUGGGAGGCAUGAAACUGAGUGAUAUGCUGGGCAGAGACUUUUUCUUUCAUAAUAUGCACUGAAUCUGCAAAGACAUCACUUAAAGAUGUGAAACAUGUGCGUGGGUUAAUCAAAAGGGGGGACCGAAGAAACCAGGGGACACCUGGUUAAGGGGGCUGGAGCCAGGAGAACAGUGGGAGAUAGAUUUUACAGACAUUAAGCCAGGGAAAUAUGGGUACAGGUAUCUUUUAGUCCUGGUAGACACUUUUUCAGGUUGGGUAGAAGCAUAUCCAACAAAACAUGAAACUGCCUCAGGGGUAGUUAAACUGAACCUCAACUAACCUCUCCUCCGGCUGCUGGCUUUGCCUUGAUUCCCAACCGCCAUAUUACGAAGCCAUUGCCUUGAAUACCUCGUUCAAUUCCUCCCAGGAGGAUAGCCCCCAAGGUUGCAAUUGGAGCAACCGUAAAGUAGGCCUGACCAUGCCUAUAUCCGGCCAAGGUAU